rnacentral:siRNA from 1 species
GACAAGGAAGAGAGGAUGAUAUA